UAAGUCUGCCAGCUGUCGAAUGGACCCAUUGUCACUGUAACGAGUCUCUAGCUAGCUUGGGGCGGUAACAGCUAUUUUAAUGAUUAAUAAACAUGACUAUUCUGCGCUGGAAUGACAACUCUGCAUAAACAGGUAGGUAUAAACAGAGAGAGGGAUUAAAAUGACUCAGUAACUGUUUGGUUGGGCAUUACUGACAGACAAGGCAGAACGAUGCUAGUGCUUCCCCUUAUUUUGAUGUUGUGAAGACAGAGUUGGAAAAAGGGUCAAAUGGCAGAGUUUAUUGCCUGAUGCAACAAAACUAACAAGGACCCUCAUAUUGCCUGCAAGGACACUUGAAAUUUAUUAUUGGGGGUCUCAUGGCCUGCAGUUCUGUAAGUCAAGGUAACAGCGAUCACCCCUUGCACCUGUCCCACCCAGGAAUCUUGCCAGCAGUGGGAACUGGGAGGAUGCGUCUGUCUUCGGGAAUAGUUCAUCUCUGUCAGUAAGCUGGGAGUCAGCUCUCUCCAUUACAUCACACGAUUCUAGCUUGUACACCAGUGGCUCUGGGAGCCUGCCAACUCUCACUUCAUUCACAGGCUCACUGUGGACCAGUGAGUGGGUCAGGAGGGCUCGACCUUUAUGCAGUAAUCGAUAGGUUGGACUACCAACUGUACACUAUUUUGGUCACAUAAACACUGUUGUAGACAUGGAAAUCAGAUACCGAGGGUUGCUGAAUACUAAAUAUUUGUGAACAUUUAUAAUGUCAAUUUAAAGGGGGACUGGACUUGGACCAACUGGGAGUUUUAUUUGAAACCUUCAAAUACCAUUUUUUGGUCUGCUCGCCCACAUGCUAUGAUAUUUAUCUAUCCAAUCAGUCAAUGAUUACCUUAAUUACACAGACACAUUGUCCGAGGUUCACAGGACUCACUACUAUGUCUAGACAUUCACUGGUCAAGACAGGCGCAACAUCGCAUUCAAGAUUAUUGCACUUCAGUAGUGGCAUGCAUGCAAAUGUAAUGCCGGUUUUAUAGUGCUAACCUACUGAGAUACCCCACUUUGACACAGUAUACAGGCUCCGAGCCUACCAGUCCUUGUCCUAAUCACUUAAUGCUGAGUUUUGAUAUGACGCGACGGGGACAGAACCACGACUUUCUGCUCUACAGGCAGAUGCCUAGUCUGCCAUACAUACCCUGAGACAAAUAUAUCCAAUACAGCGCAUGCAAGUCUAUAAUAUUUAGAAAGUCUAGACUACUGCAGU